UACGUAGGGGGCUAGCGUUGUCCGGAAUCAUUGGGCGUAAAGAGCGUGUAGGCGGCUCGGUAAGUCCGCUGUGAAAGUCCAGGGCUCAACCCUGGAAUGCCAGUGGAAACUGUCGAGCUAGAGUCCGGAAGAGGCGAGUGGAAUUCCUGGUGUAGCGGUGAAAUGCGCAGAUAUCAGGAGGAGCACCAAUGGCGAAGGCAGCUCGCUGGGCCACAACUGACGCUGAGGCGCGAAAGCUGGGGGAGCGAACGGG
rnacentral:rRNA from 1 species